UUUAAGUUGGUGUUGCCUUUGGCAUUUCUGGGAUUUAAGAUUGUUUGAUUUCCAAGAGCUUUCUGUUCCUUUAAUUCUCUGUUUACAUCUUAUAUUUCCCCCAAAAUCAUUACCCUUUUAAUCAAUGUGCAAUGUGUAUAGUUGACCGUGUAAUCAAUGGGAUAUGUAAGUUGCUAAUUUGACAUGAUUAUAGAAGGAGAGGGGCGCUCUAUUGAAGGCCAUCUCAGAAAACCAGCAAAUCAAUACCCCAAUAUUUCCAACGAGGCUUCCAAAUUGGGCGUAGUAUGGAGAGCUUAUGCAAGCUACCUAUACUAUAGCUUCUCUAACAGCUUCGUUGAAUAUGGACCCUAAUGAAACCGCCAGAAAUUAUAGAACCAAGCUCUGCACAGAUCUAGAAAGUAGAAGUUUCCAAAUCAAUAAUUAUGGUGGUGGGUGCAAAGCGGAGAGUUGAAGAGUUGGAGGAUGACUCUCAUGCAAGUCGUAAGCAUAUUAAGACAAGGGAUCUCCAAUCAGUUCAUCAAUCUGUAGAUAGAAUGUCUGGUACGACAUAGAGGGGAGAGAAUUUGUUCGUUCAGCCGAGCCGGAAUUUCCACAUUGAGCUAGGAGAGCGUGAGAACGUUGGUAAAAAUGUCGUCUUCUUCAUCAUUGAUGUCUCCUACCCCGGAGAAUCGCAUUGUUGUAUGUUUCUUCGCACCUUUUUCUUUCUAUUUUUAGAAACUCUUGCGUAAGCUGUAUAUAACUAGAGUUUGCAAUAUCUGCAAAUACCGGGAAAGUAAAUUUACUGUUUUUUUUUUUUUUUUUUUUUUUCUGUAUUAGGAUUUCUUAUUAGGUGUUGAUAAUUUAAUUAUUAUGGAUUUGCAGCAUCAACAAGAACUUAUUGAGCAAGUUCAUUUUAUUGGGAUUUUUUUUUCUUUCUCAGUUUCUCUGUGUUGGGAUUUGCCGGUGGCAAAUUAAAGGUUUGAUUUACUCUUUGUGAACUGAGUUCCGGGGUUU